GAUGAACGCUGGCGGCGUGCUUAACACAUGCAAGUCGAACGAGAAGUGGAGACGGAAACCUUCGGGCGGAAGACUUUAUUUCGAGUGGCGGACGGGUGAGUAACGCGUGGGUAACCUGCCUCAUACAGGGGGAUAACAGUUGGAAACGACUGUUAAUACCGCAUAAGACCACAGCACCGCAUGGUGCGGGGGUAAAAACUCCGGUGGUAUGAGAUGGACCCGCGUUCGAUUAGCCAGUUGGCGGGGUAACGGCCCACCAAAGCGACGAUCGAUAGCCGAUCUGAGAGGAGGACCGGCCACAUUGGGACUGAGACACGGCCCAAACUCCUACGGGAGGCAGCAGUGGGGAAUAUUGCACAAUGGGGGAAACCCUGAUGCAGCGACGCCGCGUGAGUGAAGAAGUAUUUCGGUAUGUAAAGCUCUAUCAGCAGGGAAGAAAAUGACGGUACCUGAGUAAGAAGCCCCGGCUAACUACGUG
rnacentral:rRNA from 1 species